UUAUUGCAGAGCUGUUCGCUGUUGGUGACUGGUCUCCCAAUUCCCCAUCUUCCAAUUAUUUGCUUAUCAUGUCUCUUCUAGCUUUUAACGAUCCCUUCGACACCAGCAUGAUGGAUAUCCAUUCAAUCAGCUCACUCAGUUCGAGCCGAUGAAAACAUUGGAUCCUUUCUUGAACCGAUUCAACAUUGUCCCGCGGUCAAUGAGGAGAUCGAUGCGUCACAUGGAUCGUGAACUUGGAAAACUUUUAUCCAGCGUCAAGGAAGACGACAAAUCGUUUCAGGUGAUGGUCGAUGUAUCGCAUUUCCAGCCACACGAGAUCUCUGUGAAGACGACCGACAAUAACAUCAUUGUCCACGCCAAGCAUAAUUUGCAAGGAUCAAUUCUCACACGUCUCGCGGGAAUUUCGACAUUUCGUCGUCGUGUUACCAUUCCCCGAGGCGUAAAUCCUGAGACGGUGACAUCCACUAUGUCGCCCGAAGGAAUUAUGGCUCCAAAAUGACUUGAAGG